rnacentral:lncRNA from 1 species
GAUGCAUUCCCGAAGGAUACGUGCAUGCGCAUACUUCUAUAGGUACAUGCUCGUGUAGAUUUCUGAUGCAUGUAGAAGCAAAACCAAAUUCUGGGAGGAGACCUUUUCAUAACAAACUGUCCCCUACUAUUUAUUCCAGGUGCGACGGGACCGAUGUAUCCUGUGGCAGUAUUUUUCCUUUUCAGUCCUACCUGGGCAUCACACUUUUGUUUGAGAUCACACAGCUGCUGCUGAGUUUGUUUAAUUAACGCGAGUUUCAGAUCGUCCAGCUCUGACCGAUGCUCCCUCUUCAGUUUUUCGAUAUUUUCGACAUGCCUCUUCUCCUCGAUUUCUAGCUUUUGCUGCGCUCUCAGCAAUUCUCCAUCAUGUUCUUCUCUUAGAUUUUCCAAGUCUCGCAUCCACUGCUGCUUCUCGCACAAGUGGGAUUCUCUCACUUCUUCCAGUUUCACUUCCGUGUCCUUUUCCUGAAGAAGCGAAGAACAAGGCAAACCUAUGCGUCUUCGUCCUUUUCCGUAGUCAAGAAUAACCGGAAAAAUCUAUUCUCGUUUGCACUGAACACGGCCGACACGCAAAACAGCAGAAGUUGAACUCCUGACUCGUCACACGCGUCCCCUGCGUCACCAAGAGAUGCAGAGAAGCUUCCAAUCGGCGGGUUUCCUUCCGCAAAUUCUGCUCCCUCUCCCAGGCUUCGGCUGCCUCUCGCUUGCUCGCUCGCUGGCUUUCCUGAAGAAUGGCCUCGAUCUGACUUCGUUGUUCUUUAAGUUCCACAAUGGUUAACUCUGGACAUCCAUUUCCGCUUUAGCCUGGGCCGUUUUCUCAAACUCGUCUUGAAGCUGAGACAAGGUACGCUGCAUCUGCGCGAGAGACUCGUCUUUCGACGUGUCAGCGAGCCUCGUCUCCUGCUCCGCAAUCGUCCUAAGACCCACGCGAUGACAGACAUCGGCCAAAAGUAUCGUUUCUCCAUGGGAAACCGAAGCCCUGUUCCCUAACUGCUCACCCCUGAAGUCGACAACUUCAAAACUCUGCUGAGGAAGAGAGUCAUGUCAAGCGCAGCUCAGAUGGAGCGAACGGAAUAGACUACUUGGCUCAGAUCCCCCAGACAGGUUACGCUGCACAGGUUCCGUUGCACAGAGUGUCCCUGACACAAACAAUGCAGGCAGACGAGAUCUACCUGCGAAUUCGCCGGCAGCUCGCAGCCCGAAACCGUACCUACCUUUGAAGAACUGAAAUCUGUUCUUCCAUAUGCUUGAUUUCCUCUUGGUGUUGCGAGCGUUGCAACAUAAACUGCAAGGAAGCCAGCGAGAGAGAGGCUGAAAGAUGCUGUUUCUCCCUCUGUGCCUGGCGUGGUACCAUACGUCGGCCAGCCGAGCGGUUUUGAAAGGAAAUGCGUUUCACGAAACACAGAAAUUCUAUCAUUAGUCGCUGCUAGUACCUCCUGUUUUCCCAACGAGGCAAAUGCCUUCCCGAAGCGACUUUGACCAGAACAGGAUGCUGCUGCUAACGGGGACUGAAAUCCACCGGUGUUCGGCAACUGAGGCUUACCGACUCAAGGGCCUUGUUCUGAGCAUCCUUGAGCUCUGCCUUCUCCAUAUCGUGCGCCUUCGCCUGUCGCAACCAACCCAAACACUGACUCAAAAGAUGAGCGCCGCCUCCGUAAGGGAAGCAAGACGUCACAAUGUUUUUCUCUGCUUGCUCGUUACCCCUCGCUGUGGUACCGCGAGAGUGAGUAUUCGGUGCGCUGACAAUCCUACACUCCUCAUCCCAGCGCUGCACUGGACUCACCGCGUGUCGCAAGAGGACUUCUGUGAGUACCUCACACAUCCUCGACAGUCUGCGUGAUACUAGGCAUUGAUGCACUGAACCACAUCGUGCGUUUCUCUAAAGCCACCUAGAAGGUUUGGCUACGAAACAAGCUUUUAUCGUAAAGGAAGUUUGCCCCGUUCCUUCACUUGUUUCCCAAGGGUACACGUUUCUGCGUACUCGUCAGGUACCUGAAGAUGAUCCGUGACUGCAUGAAGAUUGGGCAUUCGUCUUUGUGACUUUGAAAUGCAGUUUCUGUUCCAAAGACAAAGAUGCACCGAACAGC